GUGCAAGCGUUAAUCGGAAUUACUGGGUGUAAAGGGAGCGUAGACGGCAUGGCAAGUCUGGAGUGAAAGCCCGGGGCCCAACCCCGGGACUGCUCUGGAAACUGCCAUGCUAGAGUGCUGGAGAGGUAAGUGGAAUUCCUAGUGUAGCGGUGAAAUGCGUAGAUAUUAGGAGGAACACCAGUGGCGAAGGCGGCUUACUGGACAGUGACUGACGUUGAGGCUCGAAAGCGUGGGGAGCAAA
rnacentral:rRNA from 1 species